GGGAAAAGAGGUUGGAUGGAUCUACGGUUCUGUGACAGAAGAUAUAUUGACAGGCUUCAAGAUGCAUUGCCACGGGUGGCGGUCGAUCUACUGCGUUCCUGAGAGACCUGCAUUCAAGGGUUCUGCGCCACUCAAUCUCUCCGAUCGUCUUCACCAGGUUCUUCGAUGGGCUCUUGGUUCAGUUGAAAUUUUCUUGAGCAAGCAUUGCCCUCUGUGGUACGGAUACGGAGGCGGCCUCAAAUGGUUGGAGCGGUUAUCGUACAUAAAUGCUACUGUGUAUCCCUGGACAUCGAUUCCGCUGCUCGCUUACUGUACUCUGCCUGCCAUUUGCUUGCUGACUGGGAAAUUCAUCACUCCGGAGCUUAGCAAC
rnacentral:misc_RNA from 1 species